rnacentral:tRNA from 1 species
UAACGUAUCGCCAAAUUGGUAAGGCCUUAACUUUUGAAGUUAUCAUUUUAAAGGUUCAAAUCCUUUUACGUUAG